AGCGGCGGACGGGUUAGUAACGCGUGGGAACGUACCCUUUUCUACGGAAUAGCCUUUGGAAACGAAGAGUAAUACCGUAUACGCCCUUUGGGGGAAAGAUUUAUCGGAGAAGGAUCGGCCCGCGUUAGAUUAGAUAGUUGGUGGGGUAACGGCCUACCAAGUCUACGAUCUAUAGCUGGUUUUAGAGGAUGAUCAGCAACACUGGGACUGAGACACGGCCCAGACUCCUACGGGAGGCAGCAGUGGGGAAUCUUAGACAAUGGGCGCAAGCCUGAUCUAGCCAUGCCGCGUGAGUGAUGAAGGCCUUAGGGUCGUAAAGCUCUUUCGCCUGUGAUGAUAAUGACAGUAGCAGGUAAAGAAACCCCGGCUAACUCCGUGCCAGCAGUCGCGGUAAUACGGAGGGGGUUAGCGUUGUUCGGAAUUACUGGGCGUAAAGCGCACGUAGGCGGAUUGGAAAGUUGGGGGUGAAAUCCCGGGGCUCAACCCCGGAACUGCCUCCAAAACUAUCAGUCUAGAGUUCGAGAGAGGUGAGUGGAAUUCCAAGUGUAGAGGUGAAAUUCGUAGAUAUUUGGAGGAACACCAGUGGCGAAGGCGGCUCACUGGCUCGAUACUGACGCUGAGGUGCGAAAGUGUGGGGAGCAAACAGGAUUAGAUACCCUGGUAGUCCACACCGUAAACGAUGAAUGCCAGUCGUCGGGCAGUAUACUGUUCGGUGACACACCU
rnacentral:rRNA from 1 species